rnacentral:rRNA from 1 species
UAUUAUUUAAUAUGUAAUGUUAAUAUAACCUGGGUAGUAAUAGUUAUGAUCUUGAAACUCAAAGAAUUUGGCGGUGUUUUAGUCCUUUCAGAGGAAUCUGUCCUGUAAUUGAUAUUACACGAUUUUAUGUACUUGGUUUUGUUAAUCAGUUUAUAUACCGCCGUCGUAAGAUUAUCUUGUGGAGGGAAUUAAAUUUCUUUAUUUUUAAUUUGAAUUUAUGUCAGGUCAAGGUGUAGCUUAUAAUUAAGUAGAGAUGGAUUACAAUGAUUUUAUUUAUGAUGGAUAAUUAAUUUAAUUUUGAUUUGAAAGUGGAUUUGAUUGUAAAUGGAUUGAGAUUAGUUUUUUGAUUUUGGCUCUAAAAUGUGUACAUAUCGCCCGUCGCUCUCGUUUUAAGAUGAG